AUCGCUUCUCGGCCUUUUGGCUAAGAUCAAGUGUGAGAAUCCGUUUUUCUUUUUUCCUUUACUUUUUUUACCCAUUCUAUUUGUCUUGAAAAAAAUUAUCAGUUUCUUUCAUUUAAAUUUCACUAGUGAAUGUUGAACCAUGA
ensembl:snRNA U2 U2 spliceosomal RNA